rnacentral:rRNA from 1 species
AACGAACGCUGGCGGCAGGCCUAACACAUGCAAGUCGAGCGAGACCUUCGGGUCUAGCGGCGGACGGGGGAGUACCGCGUGGGAACGUGCCCUUUUCUGCGGAAUAGCCUCGGGAAACUGAGCGUCAUACCGCAUACGCCCUUUGGGGGAAAGAUUUCUCGGAACAGGAUCGGCCCGCGUUGGAUUAGGUAGUUGGUGGGGUAAUGGCCUACCAAGCCUACGAUGCAGAGCUGGUAGGAGAGGAUGAUCAGCCACACUGGGACUGAGACACGGCCCAGACUCCUACGCGAGGGAGCAGUGGGGAAUCUUAGACACUGGGGGCAACCCUGAUCUAGCCAUGCCGCGUGAGUGAUGAAGGGCGUAGUGUUGUAAAGCUCUUUCAGCUGGGAAGAGAAUGACGGUACCAGCAGAAGAAGCCCCGGCUAACUCCGUG